rnacentral:rRNA from 1 species
AUUGAACGCUGGCGGCAGGCCUAACACAUGCAAGUCGAGCGAGAGGCGGACGGGUGCGUAAUGUAUGGGGAUCUGCCAGAUGGAGGGGGAUAACUACUGAAAACGGUCGCUAAUACCGCAUACUAUCAGAUGAACCCAGAUGGGAUUAGCUAGGUGGUGGGGUAACGGGGAACCGAGGAGACGAUCCCUAGCUGGUCUGAGAGGAUGAUCAGCCACAAUGGUACGGAGACAAGGACCAGAGUCCUACGGUAGGCAGCAGUGGGGAAUAUUGCACGAUGGGCGCAAGCCUGAGGCAGCCAUGCGGCGUGUAUGAAGAAGGCCUUCGGGUUGUAAAGUACUUUCAGCGGGGAGGCGUUACCCGCAGAAGGAGCACGGGCUAACUCCGUGCCAGCGGCCGCGGUAAUAC